AGAGCGAACGCUGGCGGCAGGCCUAACACAUGCAAGUCGAGCGGACUCUUCGGAGUUAGUGGCGGACGGGUGAGUAACACGUGGGAACGUGCCUUUUGGUUCGGAAUAGCUCCUGGAAACGGGUGGUAAUGCCGAAUGUGCCCUUCGGGGAAAGAUUUAUCGCCAUUAGAGCGGCCCGCGUCUGAUUAGCUAGUUGGUGAGGUAAAGGCUCACCAAGGCGACGAUCAGUAGCUGGUCUGAGAGGAUGACCAGCCACAUUGGACUGAGACACGGCCCAAACUCCUACGGGAGGCAGCAGUGGGGAAUCUUGCGCAAAUGGGCGAAAGCCUGACGCAGCCAUGCCGCGUGAAUGAUGAAGGUCUUAGGAUUGUAAAAAUUCUUUCACCGGGGACGAUAAAUGACGGUACCCGGAGAAAGAAGCCCCGGCAAACUUCGUGCCAGCAGCCGCC
rnacentral:rRNA from 1 species